rnacentral:lncRNA from 1 species
AGAUAAGAAAAGAAGGAAGGGAAAUUUAAUUCUUGGAGAGUCAAAAAUGGCGGCUGCUAAGUUUAUAUACAUACACACACAGGAACAAAGAAUAAGAAGUGGGCAAUAGGCUGUUGGUUAAUAUAUACAUUUAUAUAUACACGACAGAGGUCUUUGGGGGAGGAUUUUUUUUUGUGGUAGCCAAUUGAAGGAAAAAUUGGAGAUUUUUUGGAGACUAAACCAUUGAAAAAGGUAGCCAACUUGGGAAAAUUAAUAAGGCAGCAACUUGGAGCCGUUCUUGAAGAAAAAGGAGGCAACUGAGGGAAUUAGACACACACACACUUGGGCGGCUGAACUGGAGGAUUCUUACAUGCAUCCAGGGGAUGAAAACUGAAGGGAAACUCCAAAUAUAUCUGCAGAAGAGGACAGGGCAGCAAGCAAAGAAAUAAUUUCACGAUUCUUAAUUCAUCAAUAAUUGUUACACAAAGUUUGUCUCGUUCCAUCAAGUUCUCGGUGAUGUCGUCUAAACUUUCUUUGUUUAAUUCCAAAAAUAUGCUAGGCUAAAUAUUCUCAUGUAUUGGAUGGAUGACAAAAUUGUUUAAUUCUUAGUUUUUAAUUCAAGACCAGUGUUUUUAUGUUAAUUCUUGUGUUGGGAUUCCGUUAAUAUGUCUAUUUACAUUGUUUUAAUGUUUGCAUACCAUUAGGACAAUAAAUUGC